CCAAAAACGGUUGAUCCUUUAAAGACAUUUAUUAUAGUGCUAUCUUUAUUUAUUGUACGCCAUCAUGGUACUUAUUGUUAACCCAGUUGAGAAAUUUUAUAAUCUAAGAAAUUAGGAAUAUGUUGCCAAUAGCAUAGUAACGACUCUUAAAGUGCCAGCAGUCGCGGUCAUACUUUAGUUACAAAUAAAGACUAUUAGGAUCUAUGUAAGUUAACUGUGUUACCUGUAGUGAAAUACGGUACCUUAGUACUUUAAUACUUAUAGGAUGCUAAAUACUGAAUCCAAACAGGGAUUAGAUACCCCUUUAUGCAGUACAUAAAUACUCAUCCUGAGGACUACAAUUAUAUAAUCGAAACUCAACUAACAUGGCGGUAGUUUAAAUAUUUAGGGGAACUUACUAAGUAAAUGAUAACCACCAAGGUAAUUUACGUUAAGUAACAUUUUACAUACCGUCGUCGGCAGAUAUGCUAUCAUAGUAUAUCAAAUUACUAUUAGUAAAAUGACAGAUCAAGGUGUAGACCACCUUAACGUUUCAGCGAGUUACAAUAUUUUUUAUUUUCGUUAACUAGUUGUAUUACUACGAGUACGCCGGACUUAAAAGUAAUAGAUAUUAAGUAUAUAGUAUGAAUAAUUUUAACCUGUGU
rnacentral:rRNA from 1 species